GAUUUUUAUUUUGGAAAUUCUUAGAUUGUUCAAACACUUGCUAUGCUAUUAGGAUUAAUGUUGAGAAACCGUAGGUUAUAAUUUGUAACUUCACAAAAAAAGAAUUUUUAAUAUCAUUAUUUAAGGUGGUUUCAUUAACUUCUUGCUUAUUCAAACACUUGCGUCGAAAUAUAUGCUGAAUUAUUUUUUUUAGGACAUUCUAAUGUGUGCUACACAAAAGGUUAUUCUUACAUAAAUGACAAUAUACGACCAAUAUAUAAUGAAUCUAAAAAAUAAAUUAAAAGAACAACUCUAAUUUAUUUAAAAUUUAUUUUAGAAGUCUAAACUUUUUGACAUAUAAGUGUGAAAUUUAUUAUUGCUAAAAAAGAUCUGAUUAACCAGUUGAUAGUUGAUAAUGUUUUAUGAAAACAUUUCUUGUUCAUUUUCCUUUCAAAAAAGAAGACAUAUAAAUAGGAAAAAGACAAAGUUAUAAGCUUAGAUAAGGGGGUUGCAUUUAACUAGCCAUAAUAUAGAGUGAUUUCAUAUUUUCCUUCAAAGAAAUUAGAGAGCAACAAGGGAAGUCUUAGCAUAAAUAACUAUAACUAUUACCCGUCGUACUGUAGGAAACAUAAAAUCAUCAUGCCUGAAAAAUUGGAAAUUGAACUGAUGGCGGAACUCAUAAAUACAGUAUUUUCCUGCCAAUCUAACAAACAAAUGCUUGAAUAUGAAGUUUAAAGCAUCUUCAACUAAAUGUGUUCCAUACUCCUCUAGCAUUUCACACAACAUUAAAAAGACCUUCCAUCUUUCUUGACUACUCAAAUACCCAUCAUCUGGAUGCAAUACCUCUCCAACUCACAAGAACUUUGCUUCUUCUUCAGCCCACAUGUCUCUCUUUGUGAUGUAAGCCUGUGAUGACGUUCCAUUACAUGAAGUAGUACACACAACCGAAUCAGCAGCAACAAAAUUUGAAGCACUGUACAAGUAUUGACAGUUGGUGUGGUUGUAAAAAAAAUAGUUGUAAAAUGAUACUUUAAAUAUAUGUAAUGCCAGCUUCCUCAA